rnacentral:lncRNA from 1 species
AGCUCUAACGUAUACAAUGCUUUACAAGCUCUACAAAUGCAAAGCUCUACAGUACUUUACAAGCUCUCCAAGUAAUGUUACAAGCUCUACAAGUGUAUUCUUCUUCAGCAUGGAGCUCCUUCAACAACGAUCAAAUGUCGGACUCAUGGAUAGACAUAGUCAGGACUGGGCUGACAGAAAUACAACAUGCCUUCCACAGUCGCCCUGUUACAUGAAUCGGCUGAGAAGAUUAGAAAAACUGGAGCCAAUAUAAUGUGAACAUUCCAUUCAAAAAAGUAGUAAAGGAGUGAAGGACAAUUCUUUAUAUAAUGAUAAAUAGAUUUUAGCUAGUACCAAGCUUUUUUUAGCCGAGCUAGUUAAAAUGAGAUAUUCAUACAAGACAAUAGAGACUAUAUGAAUAUGCAUGGCACAAGUGCAGGUCCUGGUAACUGGCUACACAUGUAACACCAAUAAAUGGAUAGAACAAUAAUGGGAACAACUCCAGAUCACACACAAAGCUCUAUCCAUAGUACCAGCUAUGGAUAAAAUCAUGCACAGUCCCAACAGAACUCAGUCACAGAGUAUAAUUCCGACUAUAAUAUAACCAGAGAACUAAAGAUUCUACGUACUUAGAACUCAACUAAUAAGUGAGAAUGAUCUGAUUGUAUGCAAACUAUCUUGUUUUAUUUGUUUAUAUUACUAAAGCAGACAUAUCUUCCUUUAUGUGAAGAAGUCUGCUUCCUUCUUUAGUUAGUAGUAAUCGUUCCAUGCAAAUCAACCAUGUGUGUAUGCUUGAUCAUGGUCUGGAGAUUACACGCAUAGAGGAAUAGAAUCCUAAACAAAAUAGUAUCAAACAACGGUGGGUGCUCAACCUAUUUACCAUACACAAGCAACACUUAAACCAUAGCAUGUGCAUAUACUUGUGUCACAUCAAGGGGUUCAGAAUGUACUCAACUUAAUCUAAUAAAAAGGAUUGGAAGCAGAGGGAGAUGGAGGUGGAGAUGGACGUGCUACCUGUUGCUGCGGUGGUGCCUCUUGGUGGUCAUGCUUGAACUCCUCCUGAAGCUGCUCACUAACCUGCAGGACAAACAAGACCAUGGGUGAGCUGCAGCACAGGCAUAUACAUUAAGUGAAGAUAAGGAGAAGAACCUGGAAGAAGAGAGGUGCUCUGUCCUCCUCCGUCCAUGCCCGUCCUCCUCCAUGACGAUGUCAAACAGCCUCCGUCCGCCGCUUGCGAGCACCAUGCGCCUUGGUUGGCCAUGACGCCCUUGUCCUCUACUACACGGAUGAAAACCAAAGCAUCAGUAUAGCUACACUGGCACAUAAUACAAACAUGGUAUCACAGACAUUCUCUAAUUGACAAGCACCCAAACAUAUACAUGCACCAGUUAUUAUCAGGUUAAGCCUCCUUAGUUUAGUGAUCAUUUACCCAUACAAUUUUUCACCAAGGAUUGCACCAGAUGUCAUGAUUCAAUUGAGAUCUACUAAACUACAUCAUCACAGGAAGGACAAGCAGUUUUAGAUCUUAAAAAAUGAUCCACGCACAGUCUUAGUGCUCCAUCAAAGGAUCAACUAAAUUUGCUCUCAAGCAUACAAACAAAGUUUAGGGAAAACCAAAUGAACAAGCACUUAUUGUGCAGGACACAUAGCUAUUUCAUAAGCACUCAGUGUGGAUAUGUCUGCUAAAUGUAUUGUGCACACAAAGGUGAGGCUCCCAACAGCCCAAUAUUAUGACUAUUACAGUUCAGAUUUUGAUAAUAAAACUGACAUGUGUAAUCAUAUAGCUAAUAAAAUACAUGGCACAAUAUGACUACAUCUCCAAACAGCUAAUAAACCCCAUAGUACCACAAGGACAUGCACUGCAGUAUAUCUUGCAAUG